rnacentral:pre_miRNA from 1 species
UCUUAUGAAUGAGCAAAGAAAGCAGUUUUUUGAGAUGGAGUCUACUUUUGGUGAAGAUUCUGGAAA